rnacentral:rRNA from 1 species
UACAGAGGUCUCAACCGUUGUUCGGAUUUAUUGGGCGUAAAGGGUGCGUAGGCGGUCGCGCAAGUCGGAUGUGAAAUCUCAGGGCUCAACCCUGAAACUGCAUUCGAUACUGCGUGGCUAGAGUGCUGGAGAGGAGACUGGAAUUUACGGUGUAGCAGUGAAAUGCGUAGAUAUCGUAAGGAAGACCAGUGGCGAAGGCGAGUCUCUGGACAGCAACUGACGCUGAGGCGCGAAGGCCAGGGGAGCAAACGGG